UCCAAUGGUGUGCUGGAUGGGGGAGCCGAAAGGCUCGCCGGUUGGUUGUAUCCGGUAAGGUCAACCCUGUUCAGCUCACCACCCAA
rnacentral:antisense_RNA from 1 species